GGGAUCAUUACCGAGUGAGGGUCUCUCGACCCAACCUCCAACCCUUUGUUAAUGAAUAUUCGUUGCCUUGGGGGGCCCGCCCGCGGGUCCCCCAAUGGUCUCACAACACUGCAUCUUUACGUCGGAGUAAUGAAAUCAAUCAAUUAAAACUUUUAACAACGGAUCUCUUGGUUCUGGCAUCGAUGAAGAACGCAGCGAAAUGCGAUAAGUAAUGUGAAUUGCAGAAUUCAGUGAAUCAUCGAAUCUUUGAACGCACAUUGCGCCCUUUGGCAUUCCGAAGGGCAUGCCCGUUCGAGCGUCAUUACACCACUCAAGCCUCGCUUGGUAUUGGGCGACGAGAGUCCUCGCGCCCCCAUUUCACCGGCUGGACGGAUCGAACCUCAGCGUUGUGGUCAUUCAAAUCGCUGUCGGGUCGAGACGGACGCGCCGUUAAACCUCUUUAUCACAGGUUGACC
rnacentral:rRNA from 1 species